rnacentral:rRNA from 1 species
AUUGAACGCUGGCGGCAGGCCUAACACAUGCAAGUCGAGCGGCCCGGCGGCCGGGUGCGUCAUACCUCGGCCUCUGCCUGGUAGUGGGGGAUCCCGUUCGGACACGUACGCUUAUACCCCAUCCUAUCAGAUGAGCCUAGUGCGGAUUAGCUAGUUGGUGAGGUAAUGGCUCACCAAGGCUACGAUCCGUAACUGGUCUGAGAGGAUGAUCAGUCACACUGGAACUGAGACACGGUCCAGACUCCUACGGGAGGCAGCAGUGGGGAAUAUUGGACAAUGGGCGAAAGCCUGAUCCAGCCAUGCCGCGUGUGUGAAGAAGGUCUUCGGAUUGUAAAGCACUUUAAGUUGGGAGGCGGUAGCGAAAGAAUAAGCACCGGCUAACUCUGUGCCAGCAGCCGCGGUAAUAC